AUUCAUCCAACGGAAUACAGUUCUUAACAACUCAUUGAAUUUAUAUAUUAUAAUAUUAAUAAAUCUUACAAUAAGGAACGACGCGAUUAACGUAAAAACAAGGUAAUAAAGAUAAUAAAGAGAUAAAGAAUACGCGCAGAUAAUUAUCUCUGUACUCGUGAACUCGUUGGGAACGUGCGUCGUACGUGUCACAAUCGCUAACCUUCCGCAACGCGCGAUUCCCUGGAAAAUCGAUUUCUCUGGAGUCUGGCGGCAGCUUGGAAGCGAAACAGUCGACGGCAACGUAAUAAUCACAGAGUCCUUCGAGAUCGAGCUGUCUAUCGACGCCCACGUACUAUCCGCUACUCCACCACUUACGUUUAACCAUAGAUUACAGCAGACAAUUACCACGCGACUAUCAAUACAGUAAGAGGAUAGAAGUACGCAGUCCAUCAACGAAAUACUUUGAACAAGUAUUAAUUGCAAGCACUGGUUGAAACAUUGGAGUACACAUGCGGGAAUUAUGAGAAAUAUAGUAGAGGAGAGUCAAAUAUUGUACAGAAGAGGUGCCGACCAUUCUGGAUUCCUUUGUUAUAUCUUGGACUAGAGUCGAUCCGAGCAUUCAACACGUUUCCAGCUAUUACAUUCGUCGUUUUUGGAACAUUGAAAGCCACAGCAUCCUGUUUCUGGGUCAUCUUAUUUUCGAGGAGUUCCAAAGCCGCAUUCAUGUUCUCCCCUGUCCAUUUGCUGUUUUUCUGCUGUGGAAUUUCAGCUAAUUUAAUUUCGAUUGCCAAUAGAUUAAACUUACAGAUAAAGAAGAUUUGGUCUGUACUGAUUGUCGGUACUGCAUGAUAAACACGUGGAAACGUUUUAGAUUAUAAUGUAUAUAAUAUAUCAAGAAAAUGACAAAACUGGGGGGGGGGGGUGGAAAUUAUAUUUAAUAGACUAGAUAUACUAUACAUAAUAGAAAAAAAUCAUUUACUUACCUGAAAAAUAUUAGCUGUAGAAGAUAACUUUUAACAAUAGUGUUAGAGCAACAAAAAUAAUGGAAUUAACACAAUGGCUCUGAAAUACGAGGUGUGUCACGAAAGUAAUGAGGCUGGUCCCGUAAAAAUAUUUAUAUGUCGUUUAAUGAAAAAUGUACAAUGUCCCCUUUAAAAUAGUUCCUUUAAGCAGCUAUACACCACCGGAAGUGAUGCUUUCACUCCUGGAUGCAGUGUUGGAAUUCUUCUGUUAAAACUGUUUUCAGUUGGUCGGUUACAACCAAAAUGAUGUCUCCUAAGAUGGCUUUUGAUUUUUGGGGAAGGUAAAAGGUCAUAUGGAACCUUAAUUGUGGAACCACAAGAAUACAUUUGUUGGCCAAAGAUUCAUUUACAGAGAAUGCAGCGUAAGACGCUGCUCGAUAUGUCGCUGUUCUAUUUCCGUAAUGCAUCAUUAAAUUUUGAUUUAAUUAAAUAAUUAUUAUAUAAUGAUAAAUUGAUAAAUAAUGAUAACAAUAAAUGAUUCCAUUAAAUAUAAAUUUUGUAAAACUCACGACGACAUCGCUUGUACCAGCUGAUUCGAGUUGAAAUUCAUAUUGAAGGUAGAAUAGAGAUAUUGCGUCUAAAAUAACAUCACGGCAUUGAUACAGUGUUGCGUAUUACGUACAAAGAGUUCUCAUAGCUAUUUGUUAAUACAAAUAAAAAUGCUAAUAUUUGGUGAAAAAGCCAGAAUUAAUUUUGGGUCGGUUCUGUAUGUCGAUCAGUACUACAUGAUUCUCUCCUAGGCGCAUUUGUAUUGUAUUAUAUGUACUUAUUAUCUAUUAUGUGUAUUAUAUGUAUCUAAGUAUCUAUGCGGAAUGGAAAGAAUUGAUUUAUUUGAUGACACAGUUACACAGUAACGGCACAACAGUUAACAGAGAUAACAGUUUCAGAUUUUUAAGAACUUUCCUUAAGAAAACUAUUGAAAAUAUUAAACAAAAAUUUCUUGAGAGAGUAUAAGAUUGAAUUACUUAAAUUAUUUGAUUAGAAGAAUGAAUCUUUUCUCAUUUCAAUUCUUUCUAUGCAAUUUUAUGAAUCUCUUCCAGGAUGUAAUCGUUAUCGACAUGUAUUCUAUCAUCUGUCCUAGUUAUUUAAAAACAAAAAAUGCAAAAUUUUUUUCUUUAAGUAUCUUUUUGACGGAUAUCCUUUGGAUAAGUGUCUUUAAAUUGGCUUCGAACAGUGUUGAAUAUAUCUAAGAAAACUUGUCCAUUGUUUCAGUCGUUUCUUGCCAUUUUGAACUCUGACGCAUUUCGCUAAAUGGAGUGCUGCAACUUUGUUGUUUUCAUGAAUUCAUACACAAACUAUUGGAACACAUAUUUGAAAUACUUUUGAUUCAUAGAAAAAAAGUUGAUUUUUCUUAAACUUAUUAGGUAUAUUUGUUAAUUUCUCAUACAUAUGCACAAGUUUUGGAAAACUUCGGGAAAAUAUUAAUAAAGCAUAAUUAUAAAAUAAUUGAACUAUGUUAAAUUAAGAAAAAAUCCUCGAAAUGAAAUAUUUGGAAUAAAACAUUUAUUCUGAAUCAUGAUGCAAAAACGGUAAAAAGAAAUUGUUUCGAUGAAGAAAUUUUGUGUUCAAUUGACUAAAGAACCUUACAACUUUAAAUAUUUUUCAACGUUAACAGACGUAAGAAAAUUAAAUUAUACGUACACUGAGCAGUUUCUCAUUCACAUUGAAAGUGAUCUACAACUUUGAAACUAUAAGAAAAAAAAAAGGAAGAAAGAAAAAUAGUAAGUGACAAAAUAUAUUGAUUAACAAGAUAACAUAAGAAUUAGUAAUAAUUCGUAGAAAUAUCAAUCGAUUUCCCGAGAGAGUUAGGAAUCGUCGACCACGUCGCGUCGCGUCGGGACGAUGAAAAGUCCAUGCAGCGUUGUCAACUGUCACAGAUAAACUUUUUUCCUCCAGGAUGAAAAAUAGUAAAAGUAAGCCAGUGGGAAGGAAGAUUUUCCUCUUGGGUGGGUUAUAAUGAGAAAAGUAAUUCCAAUUUAAAUAAUAUCCCGAAGUGCCGGGAAAAAUAAUAUCCUACGAUCGCCAUUGGAACUCGCGAAGAGAGGAAACUAAUUCCAAAAGAUAGCUCGGUCGAAUGAUCUUCUCAUGAAAUGUCGAAGGCAAUCGAUAGAAAAUAUUCGCGAUGGUUCUUUAUUAGUUGAACUUACGAUUAGUUUUCAAAAGGGACAAGCAUUGGAAAAUUAUCAACCGGAACAAGUUUUCGCCUUUCGCGUAUCUUGUACGACAAAGUUUGGAAAUGAAGCUUCGAGAAUUCCUUCGACUUGGAAUAUGCCCUCUUAAUUAUAUCUACCAUAUUCAGUUAUUAAAUAAAACUUGCAUUUCUGUUUGAUAUCGUUGCAGUAAGCUGGAAGUAUUAUGAAAUAGUUAUACUAACUUGCUCGUUCUUAGCAUUUGUCAUUUUCACCAUAUCAUUUACUUUAGAAUUCAACGAUCCUGUUUCUGUAUUAUGAAAAGUUUCUGUAUUACAAUUAUCGUCGAUUAACCUAUCAAUGCUUCGUUAAAUGAUGUUUCAUAUUCAAUCCAUCGAUACAGAUCCAAAUUUUCGAAACCAUUAUAGAAUACGAAUGAGUAUAUGUUAGCGUCUUGUGUUUAAAGAAACCAAAUCGAUCUUUUAAUCUCAUUAACCUUAAGGGAAUGAAGAUAUUGUUCUUAUUGCGAUUUUCACAAAACUGUGUGAUAUUUAUAAGAACAGCAAAAAUAGAACGCUGUGUAUAUACUUUAUGUGUAUUUAGAAAUGAAGAAAGAUAUCAACUAUAAAAACGUAGAAACUAUUAAAAUCUGCUUCUAAAUAUAA